rnacentral:pre_miRNA from 2 species
AAUUUCAACUGAAAAAGUUAUGAAUAUAAAAGUUGUAGAACUCAUCAAGAGCUAAAACUUUUAUUUUAGUCAUUUCUUCAUCCGACCAAGUGAUAGUAACAUCUUUCAUAAAAUUUGCAUAUAUCUCUUAUAUCUUAUGAAACCAUAUACGAUAUAUGUAAAUUUUGUAAACAAUAUUGCUAUCGCUUUGUCAGAUGAAAAAAUGAUUAAAAUAAAAGUUAUAGAUCUUGAUAAGUUACACAACUUUGUUGUUAAUGACUUUUUUAGUUGAAAUC